ACGGGGACCCGCACAAGCAGCGGAGCGUGUGGUUCAAUUCGUUGCUACACGAAGAACCUUACCUGGGUUUGACAUAUAGGUUGUAGGGAACUGAAAAGGGACCGACCCUUCGGGAGCCUAUACAGGUGUUGCAUGGCUGUCGUCAGCUCGUGUCGUGAGAUGUUCGGUUAAGUCCGCUAACGAGCGCAACCCUCGUCGUAUGUUAUAUGUGUCAUACGAGACUGCCGGUAAAAGCCGGAGGAAGGUGAGGAUGAUGUCAAGUCAGCAUGACCUUUAUAUCCAGGGCUACACACACGCUACAAUGGUCUGUACAAUGGGUAGCCAAGCCGCGAGGCGGAGCCAAUCCUGAAAAGCAGGCCUCAGUUCAGAUUGCAGUCUGCAACUCGACUGCAUGAAGCCGGAGUUGCUAGUAACCGCAGGUCAGCAAUACUGCGGUGAAUACGUUCCCGGGUCUU
rnacentral:rRNA from 1 species